rnacentral:rRNA from 1 species
UAACGGAUUAUUCUUUAUAGCUUGCUAUAGUUAUAGUUAGUGGCAGACGGGUGAGUAAUGCAUAGGAAUCUGCCUAGUAGUAUGGAAUAGCUGUUAGAAAUGACAGGUAAUACCGUAUAAUCCCUGCGGGGGAAAGAUUUAUCGCUAUUAGAUGAGCCUAUGUUAGAUUAGCUAGUUGGUGAGGUAAUAGCUUACCAAGGCUAUGAUCUAUAGCUGGUCUGAGAGGACGAUCAGCCACACUGGAACUGAGAUACGGUCCAGACUCCUACGGGAGGCAGCAGUGGGGAAUAUUGGACAAUGGGCGCAAGCCUGAUCCAGCUAUGCCGCAUGAGUGAAGAAGGCCUUAGGGUUGUAAAACUCUUUCAGCAGGGAAGAUAAUGACGGUACCUGCAGAAGAAGUCCCGGCAAACUCA